UUGACUAUACUUUCAGGGAUCAUGUCUAUAAUUCAUAAGUAGAGAAGUUUCUCUAUGUAGAGUACCAGAAACCACAAGGACUGGACAUACCGUUCCCUGCUGAGCGUGAAGCUGGCUUUUGGUGUUGCUGUUUUGCAACUGCCAUUUGCCAUUGAUGAGCAUUCUUCUCUUCCUCUGGAAGAUUAGAGGGAGGAAUUGCAGUCAGAGUGGA
ensembl:snoRNA U3 Small nucleolar RNA U3